GACGAGGGGUCCAAGCGUUGUUCGGAAUCAUUGGGCGUAAAGGGUGCGUAGGCGGCGGAGUAAGUUGGGUGUGAAAUCCCGGGGCUCAACCUCGGAAUUGCAUUCAAUACUGCUUCGCUCGAGUACUGGAGAGGAGGCUGGAAUUUACGGUGUAGCAGUGAAAUGCGUAGAUAUCGUAAGGAAGGCCGGUGGCGAAAGCGAGCCUCUGGACAGUUACUGACGCUGAUGCACGAAGGCCAGGGGAGCAAACGGG
rnacentral:rRNA from 1 species